rnacentral:lncRNA from 10 species
UGCUAAGUCGUUUUGCAGAUGCACAGCCUGCCAUGUGGAAAGCACGACCAAAGAAGAGGAGACACGUUUGAAAUGCUGAAUCCAGUCAGUCAAAGUCAAACCUGAACCAAUAAGUGGCUUCUACCUGCCUGCCCCGCCUAGCGCCCAUCCAGAGGACGGCUGACUUUCAGUCUUUUGCAGUCAAAAUUGUCCUGAUUAACACAGCAUUCAAUAUAUCUUUUCAAUACAUCACUUGCUUGAAAGCUUCAAAGGCAAAUCUAAGACUCAAGGAUCUUCUCCAAGUGGGGAAAGAGAGAUUGUUUAAAUAGAGUGCUGAAUUAUGUGGGCAGAUGAGAAGUGCAGAAAAGAAUUUCUCAUGGAUUGUAGCGAUGACUAUGAACCAAUACGUUACUACAUUCCAUGCCCUCCCCUCAAAGGAAAAAGUAAUCUAUAUGGGAAUUAUUUUUUAACAUUCUUGAAGGUAUAUUAAAGUCGUAAAGGCUGUGAAGGCAUGUUUUGGUCCAAUGGAAUGGCUCUGUUGCAACUUUGUGUAUCUGGAUUUGUUUUCGCUGUGUAUAUUCCUAGCUAUGAAUAGAACAACCAAUAUACACAGCUUAUUACCCACCACUUCACUGCUUCUAGUGCUGCAAAAAAGUCAUCUAUCUCUUUCCUCAUUUCUCUUGCCUCUAUGACAUGACACUUGGCUCUUUUAUCCAAUAUUUAGACAUAAAACAUCUCUCAAUAGUAUGUAGACUGACAUAUCUGUUUGUUUUUCCAAGUAAUUGAGGGUCAGUGCUUUUCUAGUUAGUUUCUUUUGAAGACCAAUUUUUUAAAAAAUAUAUGCUGGCAUCUUUUCAUAUCUGUAUUUCAGAUAGUGCAGUAGAACAAGCACCUGAUUACUAUAUGCAAAUGAGAAUAGGGUUUUCUUUUUAACCAUAAACAAAUUUAUAAAAAUUAAGCCCACCAAUCCAAGCAAAAUAAUGAUGAUGAUGAUAAUGAUAGUAAGUUUUUGUUGCAACAGACAUGAAUGAUAACUUUCUAACUUUUUAGGACUGUUGCAUAGAUAUCAGUUGAAAGAUGUGUGUGAUUGCAGGCAGAUAAGCUGUAACUCCACUAUAUUCUUUCCCACUGAUCUGAACACAAUAGAUAGAGUUAUCACAUCUAGUUAGAGAUCUGUUACUCUAGGUAGCUAGCUCUGAAUCUUUUCACCUGAGUAUAAAUGCUGUCAGAGGGCAAUAUCAUGGUAAGUGACAGAUUAAAGAUAUAUAAUAUGCUUUGCAGCAUUUCAUUCAUAAAAGAAAAAACAAGAACAGUACUUUUUAAAUUGG